GCACAAGCGGUGGAGCAUGUGGUUUAAUUCGAUGAUACGCGAGGAACCUUACCUGGGCUCAAAUGUAUGUUGACGUAUUCUGAAAGGGAUACUUCUUCGGACAAUAUACAAGGUGCUGCAUGGUUGUCGUCAGCUCGUGCCGUGAGGUGUCGGGUUAAGUCCCAUAACGAGCGCAACCCCUAUCAUUAGUUGCCAUCAGGUCAAGCUGGGGACUCUAAUGAAACUGCCUACGCAAGUAGUGAGGAAGGUGGGGAUGACGUCAAAUCAGCACGGCCCUUACGUCUUGGGCCACACACGUAAUACAAUGGCCAGUACAGAGGGCAGCUACUAUGUGAAUAGAUGCGAAUCUCGAAAGCUGGUCUCAGUUCGGAUUGGAGUCUGCAACUCGACUCUAUGAAGCUGGAAUCGCUAGUAAUCGCGCAUCAGCCAUGGCGCGGUGAAUACGUUCCCGGGCCUU
rnacentral:rRNA from 1 species